AGAGUUUUACGGGUGUACCAUCCAGAAGAAAGUGAUGAUUUUGUCUUGGCAGGGAAGAAAGGAUUUGCUGCUCUUCUGGCAUCAAGACUUCACGAAGAAGGAGAAAUAUCUGGAAGUCAAUCACAUGAAGGUUUUACCUACCAUACAGAAGAACUUGGCCAUGAAGGACCUCACAAUGCCACAUACACUGUUAAAGAGACAAGUACUGGACUGCAGUUCACUAAAGUACGACAUGAACCACUGGUUACUAAUGCUGGUGGUGAAUAC